rnacentral:rRNA from 1 species
GACGAACGCUGGCGGCGUGCUUAACACAUGCAAGUCGAACGAGACGAUUGAAAGCUUGCUUUUGAAAGUCGAGUGGCAAACGGGUGAGUAACGCGUAGACAACCUGCUUUUGAGAGGGGGACAACAGUUCGAAAGGACUGCUAAUACCGAAUGUUGUAUAUUUUCCACAUGGAAGAUAUAUUAAAGAUGACCUCUAUAUAUAAGCUAUCGCUCAAAGAUGUGUCUGAGUCUGAUUAGUUGGUUGGUGGGGUAACGGCCUAGCAAGGCGACGAUCAGUAGCCGGUCUGAGAGGAUGAACGGCCACAUUGGGACUGAGACACGGCCCAGACUCCUACGGGAGGCAGCAGUGGGGAAUCUUCCACAAUGGACGAAAGUCUGAUGGAGCAACGCCGGGUGAGUGAAGAAGGGUUUCGGCUCGUAAAGCUCUGUUGUCGGGGACGAAUGUGCAGUAUUUGAAUAAAGUACUGCAAUGACGGUACCAGACGAGGAAGCCACGGCUAACUACGUGCCAGCAGCCGCCGCAG